CUGAGCCACCCAGGCACCCCUCAAGAUCUGUAAGUUUUGCCUAAACUGCAGUGAACAGAGAUGUCUGAAGUUAUGUAAAGUCUAAACAACACUAUUUCUAAUACAAAACACCACAGACCUAACAAACUCAGCCUAGCUGCCAUGGAACAGGGGUAUUCUCCACAAAGGGCAUGCUGUGCUGGGUCUGCUGCUGCUGACAGGUAAAAACCACUCUGCAUCGCCCAGUCCUACCUUAA